UGAUUGUAGCCUUUUGGAGUAGA
rnacentral:miRNA from 1 species